UGCAGUCGACGAACCUUCGGGUUAGUGGCGGACGGGUGAGUAACGCGUGAGAAUCUGCCCUCAGGAGGGGGAUAACGGUUGGAAACGACCGCUAAUACCCCAUAUGCCUACUGGUGAAAUGAAUUUCGCCUGAGGAUGAGCUCGCGUCUGAUUAGCUAGUUGGUGAGGUAAUGGCUCACCAAGGCUUCGAUCAGUAGCUGGUCUGAGAGGAUGAUCAGCCACACUGGGACUGAGACACGGCCCAGACUCCUACGGGAGGCAGCAGUGGGGAAUUUUCCGCAAUGGGCGAAAGCCUGACGGAGCAACGCCGCGUGAGGGACGAAGGCCUCUGGGCUGUAAACCUCUUUUCUCAAGGAAGAAGAUAUGACGGUACUUGAGGAAUAAGCCACGGCUAAUUCCGUGCCAGCAGCCGCGGUAAUACGGGAGUGGCAAGCGUUAUCCGGAAUUAUUGGGCGUAAAGCGUCCGCAGGCGGCUUUUCAAGUCUGCUGUUAAAGCGUGGAGCUUAACUCCAUCAUGGCAGUGGAAACUGAAAGGCUUGAGUAUGGUAGGGGCAGAGGGAAUUCCCGGUGUAGCGGUGAAAUGCGUAGAUAUCGGGAAGAACACCAGUGGCGAAGGCGCUCUGCUGGGCCAUCACUGACGCUCAUGGACGAAAGCCAGGGGAGCGAAAGGGAUUAGAUACCCCUGUAGUCCUGGCCGUAAACGAUGAACACUAGGUGUCGGGGGAAUCGACCCCCUCGGUGUCGUAGCCAACGCGUUAAGUGUUCCGCCUGGGGGAGUACGCACGCAAGUGUGAAACUCAAAGGAAUUGACGGGGGCCCGCACAAGCGGUGGAGUAUGUGGUUUAAUUCGAUGCAACGCGAAGAACCUUACCAGGGUUUGACAUCCUGCGAAUCUCUUGAAACGAGAGAGUGCCUUCGGGAGCGCAGUGACAGG
rnacentral:rRNA from 1 species